rnacentral:rRNA from 1 species
UGGGGAAUAUUGCACAAUGGGCGGAAGCCUGAUGCAGCGACGCCGCGUGGGGGAUGAAGGCCUUCGGGUUGUAAACUCCUUUCGACAGGGACGAAGCUUUUGUGACGGUACCUGUAUAAGAAGCACCGGCUAACUACGUGCCAGCAGCCGCGGUAAUACGUAGGGUGCGAGCGUUGUCCGGAAUUACUGGGCGUAAAGAGCUCGUAGGUGGUUUGUCGCGUCGUCUGUGAAAUUCCGGGGCUUAACUCCGGGCGUGCAGGCGAUACGGGCUGACUUGAGUGCUGUAGGGGAGACUGGAAUUCCUGGUGUAGCGGUGAAAUGCGCAGAUAUCAGGAGGAACACCGAUGGCGAAGGCAGGUCUCUGGGCAGUAACUGACGCUGAGGAGCGAGAGCAUGGGUAGCGAACAGG